rnacentral:tmRNA from 1 species
GGGCUGGCGCUUCGCGGCCGGGCGCUCUAUAUUGAGAGGGUCGGGCAACCGACUAUGACGCUAAACGCCACGCGGAAUAGACGUUACGGACCCGGGGGCGGUACCCGGCGCCUCCACCAGAUCGUUCCGGCCACCCGCGACGGCCGGACCCCCUGGGGGCGAAACAGGAUCGACGUGCGCAGUAAAGGUGUGGUUUGCGUUCGGCAUGAUACCACCGUUAUCGGGUCAAUCCUAACAAGUGCCAACGACAACGUUGAACUUGCCGCUGCGGCUUAACCCGUAAGCGCGGUCCGGGGGGCACCGGGCAACAGAAGCCCCCCACU